rnacentral:rRNA from 1 species
AAGACGAUGUAUAGGAGCUGACGCCUGCCCGGUGCUGGAAGGUUAAGGGGAUCUGUUAGAGCAAUCGAAGCAGGGAACUUAAGCCCCAGUAAACGGCGGCCGUAACUAUAACGGUCCUAAGGUAGCGAAAUUCCUUGUCGGGUAAGUUCCGACCCGCACGAAAGGCGUAACGAUUUGGGCACUGUCUCAACAACAGACUCG